rnacentral:misc_RNA from 1 species
AUCUGCUCCCGCAUGGCCCCGUCGGCAUGUUGGCUGUUGCUAACGUCAUUUUUUGCCUGCAAAGAAUUCCGGUUUGCCGGUUUUCCCGGCGUCCACUUUUGGGUAUGAGAGCGCAUCCCGAAAAGUGUGAAACGGUUUUCGGAUAAGAUGCGCAUCAAAAAAUAGUUGGAGCGCCGAUUUGAUUCAUU